rnacentral:rRNA from 1 species
GACGAACGCUGGCGGCGUGCUUAACACAUGCAAGUCGAACGGAAAGGCCCUGCUUUUGUGGGGUGCUCGAGUGGCGAACGGGUGAGUAACACGUGAGUAACCUGCCCUUGACUUUGGGAUAACUUCAGGAAACUGGGGCUAAUACCGGAUAGGAGCUCCUGCUGCAUGGUGGGGGUUGGAAAGUUUCGGCGGUUGGGGAUGGACUCGCGGCUUAUCAGCUUGUUGGUGGGGUAGUGGCUUACCAAGGCUUUGACGGGUAGCCGGCCUGAGAGGGUGACCGGCCACAUUGGGACUGAGACACGGCCCAGACUCCUACGGGAGGCAGCAGUGGGGAAUAUUGCACAAUGGGCGGAAGCCUGAUGCAGCAACGCCGCGUGCGGGAUGACGGCCUUCGGGUUGUAAACCGCUUUCGCCUGUGACGAAGCGUGAGUGACGGUAAUGGGUAAAGAAGCACCGGCUAACUACGUGCCAGCAGCCGCGGUGAUACGUAGGGUGCGAGCGUUGUCCGGAUUUAUUGGGCGUAAAGGGCUCGUAGGUGGUUGAUCGCGUCGGAAGUGUAAUCUUGGGGCUUAACCCUGAGCGUGCCUUCGAUACGGGUUGACUUGAGGAAGGUAGGGGAGAAUGGAAUUCCUGGUGGAGCGGUGGAAUGUGCAGAUAUCAGGAGGAACACCAGUGGCGAAGGCGGUUCUCUGGGCCUUUCCUGACGCUGAGGAGCGAAAGCGUGGGGAGCGAACAGGCUUAGAUACCCUGGUAGUCCACGCUGUAAACGGUGGGUACUAGGUGUGGGGUCCAUUCCACGGGUUCCGUGCCGUAGCUAACGCUUUAAGUACCCCGCCUGGGGAGUACGGCCGCAAGGCUAAAACUCAAAGGAAUUGACGGGGCCCCGCACAAGCGGCGGAGCAUGCGGAUUAAUUCGAUGCAACGCGUAGAACCUUACCUGGGUUUGACAUGGAUCGGGAGUGCUCAGAGAUGGGUGUGCCUCUUUUGGGGUCGGUUCACAGGUGGUGCAUGGCUGUCGUCAGCUCGUGUCGUGAGAUGUUGGGUUAAGUCCCGCAACGAGCGCAACCCUUGUUCACUGUUGCCAGCACGUUAUGGUGGGGACUCAGUGGAGACCGCCGGGGUCAACUCGGAGGAAGGUGGGGAUGACGUCAAGUCAUCAUGCCCCUUAUGUCCAGGGCUUCACGCAUGCUACAAUGGCUGGUACAGAGAGUGGCGAGCCUGUGAGGGUGAGCGAAUCUCGGAAAGCCGGUCUCAGUUCGGAUUGGGGUCUGCAACUCGACCUCAUGAAGUCGGAGUCGCUAGUAAUCGCAGAUCAGCAACGCUGCGGUGAAUACGUUCCCGGGGCU